CACAAGCGGUGGAUGAUGUGGUUUAAUUCGAUGCAACGCGAAAAACCUUACCCACCUUUGACAUGGCAGGAAUCCUAAAGAGAUUUGGGAGUGCUCGAAAGAGAACCUGCACACAGGUGCUGCAUGGCUGUCGUCAGCUCGUGUCGUGAGAUGUUGGGUUUAAGUCCCGCAACGAGCGCAACCCUUGCCAUUAGUUGCUACGAAAGGGCACUCUAAUGGGACUGCCGGUGACAAACCGGAGGAAGGUGGGGAUGACGUCAAGUCCUCAUGGCCCUUAUAGGUGGGGCUACACACGUCAUACAAUGGCCGGUACAGAGGGUAGCCAACCCGCGAGGGGGAGCCAAUCCCACAAAGCCGGUCGUAGUCCGGAUCGCAGUCUGCAACUCGACUGCGUGAAGUCGGAAUCGCUAGUAAUCGCGGAUCAGCAUGUCGCGGUGAAUACGUUCCCGGGUCUU
rnacentral:rRNA from 1 species